rnacentral:rRNA from 1 species
UAACGCGUGAGCAAUCUGCCUUUAAGAGGGGGAUAACAGUCGGAAACGGCUGCUAAUACCGCAUAAAGCAUCAAAUUCGCAUGUUUUUGAUGCCAAAGGAGCAAUCCGCUUUUAGAUGAGCUCGCGUCUGAUUAGCUAGUUGGCGGGGUAACGGCCCACCAAGGCGACGAUCAGUAGCCGGACUGAGAGGUUGAACGGCCACAUUGGGACUGAGACACGGCCCAG